GGAGGCCUUAGCUUAAGUAAAGUGUCUGUGUUGCAGUCAGGAGAUGUAAUUAUGAUUACAGGCCUUCA
rnacentral:tRNA from 1 species